UCCACCCUAUGUUUAUUGAACUUAUCUUGUUGUUGCCUCGGCGGGGUGUUGCGCUUUUUGUGCAUCCUCCGCCGGCGUACAGCUAUAAAAACUUUUGAUAUAAACUAUACUGUCAGAGCCUUUGGCAUUUUGAUAAAUAAAUCAAAACUUUCAACAACGGAUCUCUUGGUUCUGGCAUCGAUGAAGAACGCAGCGAAAUGCGAUAAGUAAUGUGAAUUGCAGAAUUCAGUGAAUCAUCGAAUCUUUGAACGCACAUUGCGCCCCUUGGUAUUCCGAGGGGCACACCUGUUCGAGCGUCAUUACAAACCUCAAGCUCUGCUUGGUAUUGGGUGCUCGUUACUCUCUUAUGGGGGGUAACGCGCCUUAAAGACCUCGGCGGCGUUGUUCCAACUUCGAGCGUAGCAAACACUUUCGCUUCUGGAGUUUUGGGCAACGUUCUGUCCGUUAACACCCUUUUUUAUUCAAAGGUUGACCUCGGAUCAGGUGGGGAUACCCGCUGAACUUAA
rnacentral:rRNA from 1 species